rnacentral:rRNA from 1 species
AGAGUUUGAUCCUGGCUCAGGACGAACGCUGGCGGCGUGCCUAACACAUGCAAGUCGAACGGAGUUAAAUUCGACACCCGAGUAUCCGGCCGGGAGGCGGGGUGCUGGGGGUUGGAUUUAACUUAGUGGCGGACGGGUGAGUAACGCGUGAGUAACCUGCCUUUCAGAGGGGGAUAACGUUCUGAAAAGAACGCUAAUACCGCAUAACAUCAAUUUAUCGCAUGAUAGGUUGAUCAAAGGAGCAAUCCGCUGGAAGAUGGACUCGCGUCCGAUUAGCCAGUUGGCGGGGUAACGGCCCACCAAAGCGACGAUCGGUAGCCGGACUGAGAGGUUGAACGGCCACAUUGGGACUGAGACACGGCCCAGACUCCUACGGGAGGCAGCAGUGGGGGAUAUUGCACAAUGGGGGAAACCCUGAUGCAGCAACGCCGCGUGAGGGAAGAAGGUUUUCGGAUUGUAAACCUCUGUUCUUAGUGACGAUAAUGACGGUAGCUAAGGAGAAAGCUCCGGCUAACUACGUGCCAGCAGCCGCGGUAAUACGUAGGGAGCGAGCGUUGUCCGGAUUUACUGGGUGUAAAGGGUGCGUAGGCGGCGAGGCAAGUCAGGCGUGAAAUCUAUGGGCUUAACCCAUAAACUGCGCUUGAAACUGUCUUGCUUGAGUGAAGUAGAGGUAGGCGGAAUUCCCGGUGUAGCGGUGAAAUGCGUAGAGAUCGGGAGGAACACCAGUGGCGAAGGCGGCCUACUGGGCUUUAACUGACGCUGAAGCACGAAAGCAUGGGUAGCAAACAGGAUUAGAUACCCUGGUAGUCCAUGCCGUAAACGAUGAUUACUAGGUGUGGGGGGUCUGACCCCCUCCGUGCCGCAGUUAACACAAUAAGUAAUCCACCUGGGGAGUACGGCCGCAAGGU